rnacentral:rRNA from 1 species
UCGCCGGGUAGCUAUGUUCGGAAGGGAUAACCGCUGAAAGCAUCUAAGCGGGAAGCCUACCUCAAGAUAAGAUUUCCCUAGGAAUUUAUUCCUCUAAAGAGCCGUUGAAGACUACGACGUUGAUAGGUUGGAUGUGGAAGUGCGGUGACGCAUGAAGCUGACCAAUACUAAUUGCUCGUGAGGCUUGACUAUACAACACCCAAACAGUUG